AGAUGUCUCGGCCCUAUCAGGUAGUGGGUGUAAUGUACCUACUAGCCGACGACGGGUACGGGUUGUGAGAGCAAGAGCCCGAGAUGGAUUCUGAGACAUGAAUCCAGGCCNUACGGGGCGCAGCAGGCGCGAAAACUUUACAAUGCGGGAACCCGUGAUAAGGGGACACCGAGUGCCAGCAUCAUAUGCUGGCUGUCCGGGUGUGUAAAAUACACCUGUUAGCAAGGGCCGGGCAAGACCGGUGCCAGCCGCCGCGGUAACACCGGCGGCCCGAGUGGUGAUCGUGAUUAUUGGGUCUAAAGGGUCCGUAGCCGGUUUGGUCAGUCCUCCGGGAAAUCUGACGGCUUAACCGUUAAGCUUUCGGGGGAUACUGCCAGACUUGGAACCGGGAGAGGUAAGAGGUACUACAGGGGUAGGAGUGAAAUCUUGUAAUCCCUGUGGGACCACCUGUGGCGAAGGCGUCUUACCAGAACGGGUUCGACGGUGAGGGACGAAAGCUGGGGGCACGAACCGGAUUAGAUACCCGGGUAGUCCCAGCCGUAAACGAUGCUCGCUAGGUGUCAGGCAUGGCGCGACCGUGUCUGGUGCCGCAGGGAAGCCGUGAAGCGAGCCACCUGGGAAGUACGGCCGCAAGGCUGAAACUUAAAGGAAUUGGCGGGGGAGCACAAGGGCGAAUUCCAGCACACUGGCGGCCGUUACUAGUGGAUCCGAGCUCGGU
rnacentral:rRNA from 1 species